UACGGAGGGUGCGAGCGUUGUCCGGAAUCACUGGGCGUAAAGGGCGCGUAGGUGGCCUGUGAAAGUCUGCGGUGAAAGCCCGGCGCUCAACGCCGGGUCGGCCGUGGAUACUCUCGGGCUCGAGCUUACUAGAGGCAGAUGGAAUUCCGGGUGUAGCGGUGGAAUGCGUAGAGAUCCGGAAGAACACCGGUGGCGAAGGCGGUCUGCUGGGGUAAUGCUGACACUGAUGCGCGACAGCGUGGGGAGCAAACAGG
rnacentral:rRNA from 1 species